rnacentral:rRNA from 1 species
CAAUGAUGUCUGAGCAAAUUAUUUAAAUAAGCAAAACUUUCAACAACGGAUCUCUUGGUUCCGGCAUCGAUGAAGAACGCAGCGAAAUGCGAUAAGUAAUGUGGACCGCAGUACUCAGCGACUCAUCGAAUCUUUGAACGCACAUUGCGCCCCUU